GCGAAGUUUUUCUGGUGCUUGCACUAGAAAAACUUAGCGGCGAACGGGUGAGUAACACGUAAAGAACCUGCCUCAUAGACUGGGACAACUAUUGGAAACGAUAGCUAAUACCGGAUAACAGCAUUAACUGCAUGGUUGAUGUUUAAAAGUUGGUUUUGCUAACACUAUGAGAUGGCUUUGCGGUGCAUUAGCUAGUUGGUGGGGUAAAGGCCUACCAAGGCGACGAUGCAUAGCCGACCUGAGAGGGUGAUCGGCCACACUGGGACUGAGACACGGCCCAGACUCCUACGGGAGGCAGCAGUAGGGAAUCUUCCGCAAUGGGCGAAAGCCUGACGGAGCAACGCCGCGUGAGUGAAGAAGGAUUUCGGUUCGUAAAGCUCUGUUGUUAGGGAAGAAUGAUUGUGUAGUAACUAUACACAGUAGAGACGGUACCUAACCAGAAAGCCACGGCUAACUACGUGCCAGCAGCCGCGGUAAUACGUAGGUGGCAAGCGUUGUCCGGAAUUAUUGGGCGUAAAGCGCGCGCAGGUGGUUUAAUAAGUCUGAUGUGAAAGCCCACGGCUCAACCGUGGAGGGUCAUUGGAAACUGUUAAACUUGAGUGCAGGAGAGAAAAGUGGAAUUCCUAGUGUAGC
rnacentral:rRNA from 1 species